UGCUGCACUUUUUCCCUGGACAAGAAUGAUGGUUUCUCAGAGAGAGUCCAGAAGUCAUCUUUGGAGUCUGGAUGCUAUUUCUGCUUCAGAGUCUCUCUGCCAUGAAAGAAGCAUGCACACAGCCUUCUUCCUCUGCUGCUGCCUGUGAGAUGAAGGUCCAGAUCAUUGUCUUUCAAGGAGAGGCAGAGAUCCUUGUCUUUCAGUGCCCUGUGUGCUAAGCUUUCUCGCUUCCAGCAGUGGGGAAGGGUCAGAGACUGUGUUGUUGUAUGCAUCCUCGGUGGCAUUAUUAACUGGAGCUUUUCAAACAGAUGAAGUAUGUUACUGUGGCUAAAUUGUAAUGAAAGAAGAGAUGGCUGUUUGCCAAUAAAUGAUGCCAUAUGCAACAAAGUGCAGAGAUGGACUAUAGGCUUCCAGCAAGUUACCAACUUUACUGCCAAGGAGGGUGCUAAGAUAGUCAGUCUCCUAAAUACUGAGCUGAUUGUUGCGCGAAAAGUGCAGUAAAGACACCUUUCUACACUGAAAGAAGCUAAAGUGAGUGUUGAGAGAAAUACUGCUGAUAAAAGUGUGUAUUAAAAAUGAAAAUAGACAAGAGGAUGUUAAGUACAAAAAAGAAGAUGCUUGGAGUUGAUGGCUGAGCACAAAUAGCUGCAUACAGCAUCCCCUGCUUUCUUGAAGACAAUGUACCGUAUUAUGGUGGGGAAAAAAAAGAAGAAAAAAAGCAGAUUUCUCUGGACAGCAAUCAUCCUUCAGCUUCUGAGAAAAAACAGUUUGACUGGACAAGAGGACAAAGAAAAGUGGUCCCUUGGAUAAGUGUUGCCCACUGUUCCCUGAUGGUCUGAGGAACGUCUCAGAAGUACAGCUUAGUUUGAAAAUAGUCCAGAAGAUCUGUCUGCUGUUCUUGAACUCAAUGUCAAACCAUGUCUCAGCAGGAAGGCUGCAGUUUUCAAGGUUUCUUAAGGAUGUUUUCCCCUGCGUUUACUGCACAGGCAAAGAGCUUCCUUUCCCUGGGUCCAAGGGCCUGUGACCUACCUGCCAUUUUGUGCCCUCGUGCCUGGUCUGCUCAGGAGGAGAAGCGCAACGUGGAGCACGCCAGGGCUCCAGCACACCCUACAUCGGCCCGACAAAGCUGGUUCCUUCCCGCCCACACAGCCAGAUCAAACAGCCAUCAGGAAACAAUCUGGGAGCCAUACUCCCGCUUGGUACUGCCGCCGGGGCAGUGUAACAGGGCGGGGGGCAGUGCUGUUUCUAGCACAUUCCAAUUGACAACAUCUGGGUCAGCUCCGUUCUGAGCAGCUGCCUUUGCCACAGCCCCUGCUGCAUUGCCUUUCUCUGUGGAAAGCUUUGUUUUGGCUAGGGGUAGGUUUGUUGAGCUUUCGUGUACUGAAGUCUCACACAGAGACUUUCCCUUUGCCCGUGGCAUGUGACCCUGCCAACUUAUAGGCUUGCAUCCCCAAUAAGAAAAACAAUAAAGUUUAAAAACAACAACAACAAAAAAAGUAAAGAUUAA